rnacentral:rRNA from 1 species
UGAAGGUCUGGAGCCGAAGGGAAACCAAGUCUGAACAGGGCGUGAAGUCAGUCAGAGUAGACCCGAAACCGGGUGAUCUAUCCAUGUCCAGGUUGAAGUUGCCGUAAAAGGCAAUGGAGGACCGAACCCACAUCCGUUGAAAAGGGUGGGGAUGAGGUGUGGAUAGGGGAGAAAUUCCAAUCGAACCCGGAGAUAGCUGGUUCUCCUCGAAAUAGCUUUAGGGCUAGCCUCGUAUUAGUCUGGUGGAGGUAGAGCACUGAAUAUCCUAGGGGGCGUCAAAGCCUACCGAAGAAUAUCAAACUCCGAAUGCCAUAAAGGUGAUGCACGGGAGUCAGACUGCACGAGAUAAGUUGGGUGGUCAAAAGGGAAAGAGCCCAGACCUACAGCUAAGGUCCCAAAGUGCGUGUUAAGUGGAAAAGGAUGUGGGAUUUCGAAGACAACUAGGAUGUUGGCUCAGAAGCAGCCACACAUUCAAAGAGUGCGUAAUAGCUCACUAGUCGAGAGGUCCUGCGCCGAAAAUGUCCGGGGCUGAAACACGACACCGAAGCUGUGGACUUGCCUAUGGCAAGUGGUAGAGGAGCAUUCUUAACUGCGGCGAAGCAGUACCGAUAAGGAGCUGUGGAGUGUUAAGAAGAGAGAAUGCCGGAAUGAGUAGCGAGAGGAAGGUGAGAAUCCUUCCGGCCGAAUAUCUAAGGUUUCCAGAGUAAAGCUGAUCUGCUCUGGGUAAGUCGGGGCCUAAGGCGAGGUCGAAAGACGUAGUCGAUGGACAACAGGUUGAAAUUCCUGUACCACAUAUCAUCAGAACUGUGGGGACACAGGGCGAUAACCAGACCCGGGAAUGAAAAGACCGGGGCAAGCGAAGAAGGAGUUAAGCUGGCAAAUCCGCUUAACAAUCCGAAGACGUGAUGCGGACCGAACAAAAGUAGGGAAGCUGGAGAUUCGAACUGUCAAGAAAAGCCGCUAUUGUGUGAUAUGUGCCCGUACCGUAAACCGACACAGGUGGAUGAGGAGAGAAUCCUAAGGCCGGCGGGAGAAGCAUUGUUAAGGAACUCGGCAAAAUGACCCUGUAACUUCGGGAUAAAGGGUGCCACAGAGAUGUGGCCGCAGAGAAUAGGCUCAAGCAACUGUUUAGCAAAAACACAGGUCUAUGCGAAACCGAAAGGUGAGGUAUAUGGGCUGACGCCUGCCCGGUGCUGGAAGGUUAAGAGGAGAGGUUAGAGCAAUCGAAGCUUUGAAUUUAAGCCCCAGUAAACGGCGGCCGUAACUAUAACGGUCCUAAGGUAGCGAAAUUCCUUGUCGGGUAAGUUCCGACCCGCACGAAAGGCGUAAUGAUUUGAGCACUGUCUCGACAAUGCACCCGGUGAAAUUGAAAUACCAGUGAAGAUGCUGGUUACCUGCGCCAGGACGGAAAGACCCCAUGGAGCUUUACUCCAGCUUGAUACUGGGAUUCGGUUAUACAUGUACAGGAUAGGUGGGAGGCUAAGAAGUGAGGACGCCAGUCUUCACGGAGCCGCUGUUGGGAUACCACCCUUGUGUGACUGGGUUUCUAACCUGCAGCCGUGACCCGGCUGGGGGACAAUGUCAGGUGGGGAGUUUGACUGGGGCGGUCGCCUCCGAAAGGGUAUCGGAGGCGCUCAAAGGUUCCCUCAGAAUGGUUGGAAACCAUUCGAAGAGUGCAAAGGCAGAAGGGAGCUUGACUGCGACACCGACGGGUGGAGCAGGUACGAAAGUAGGACUUAGUGAUCCGGUGGUAUAAAGUGGGAUUGCCAUCGCUCAACGGAUAAAAGCUACCCUGGGGAUAACAGGCUUAUCACUCCCAAGAGUUCACAUCGACGGAGUGGUUUGGCACCUCGAUGUCGGCUCAUCGCAUCCUGGGGCUGUAGCAGGUCCCAAGGGUUGGGCUGUUCGCCCAUUAAAGCGGUACGCGAGCUGGGUUCAGAACGUCGUGAGACAGUUCGGUCCCUAU